GUCGCAUGCUCCCGGCCGCCAUGGCGGCCGCGGGAAUUCGAUUAGAGUUUGAUCAUGGCUCAGGACGAACGCUGGCGGCGUGCUUAACACAUGCAAGUGGAGCGACGAACCAGGGCUUGCCCUGGGGCAGAGCCGCGAACGGGUGAGUAACACGUGGGUAACGUGCCCCAAUGAUCGGGACAACCCGGGGAAACCCGGGCUAAUACCGAAUAUGCUCCCCUCACACCAGUGAGGGAUGGAAAGGAAGCUUCGGCCUCCGCAUUGGGAUCGGCCCGCGGCCCAUUAGCUUGUUGGUGAGGUAACGGCUCACCAAGGCUGCGAUGGGUAGCUGGUCUGAGAGGACGAUCAGCCACACUGGGACUGAGACACGGCCCAGACUCCUACGGGAGGCAGCAGUGGGGAAUCUUGCGCAAUGCGCGAAAGCGUGACGCAGCAACGCCGCGUGGGGGAAGAAGGCCUUCGGGUUGUAAACCCCUUUCAGGAGGGACGAAGCCCGGACCGUUAAUAGCGGAUCCGGGUGACGGUACCUCCAGAAGAAGCCCCGCUAACUACGUGCCAGCAGCCGCGGUAAUACGAAUCACUAGUGAAUUCGCGGCCGCCUGCAGGUCGACCAUAUGGGAGAGCUCCC
rnacentral:rRNA from 1 species